GUCUAUUUUAGGAGGACCUAGGAUGA
rnacentral:piRNA from 1 species